UUCACAUGCUGGUCAAAUCACUCCCUAUUCAGGUAUCCCUUUCCAAAGCAAAUGAUCUGAAACAGGACCCCUUAUUGCUAUGCAUGUUCUCUACCUUCUUGCUGUGUUUAUUUUUUGAACUAUUAUAUAAACUUGUAUUAUCCCUUUUUAUUUCAUUUACUUAUUACCUGUGUAUCAAACCCUCAUGGAGACUCUAUCAAGGUCGGUGCUUCUGCUUUGCUCUCAACUGUGUUCCCAGCGUCUAGAACAGAACAAUAUGAGAAGAGAACAGCAAUCACACUAUCCACUACAUCCUUUGUAAACUUUUCUGUGGUUGGCUUUGUAAAAGUUAUCUGGCCUGUGUAAAGAAUCAGGAGGCCAGGCAUGGUGGCACACCUGAAGUCCCAGCUACUUGGGGGUGCUGAGGUGAGAGGAUCACUUGAGCCCAGGAGUUCAAGACCAGUCUGGGUAAUAUAGCAAGACCCUCGACAAUAUAACCAAGAGGACAUAAAACUAAGAAA
rnacentral:lncRNA from 10 species